GGAAGGGAUGUAUUUAUUACAUUAAAAACCAAUGCCCUCCGGGGCUCACUGGUGAUUCAUGAUAACUUCUCGAAUCGCACGGCCUUGCGCCGGCGAUGGUUCAUUCAAAUUUCUUCCCUAUCAACUUUCGAUGUUUGGGUAUUGGCCAAACAUGGUUGCAACGGGUAACGGAGGGUUAGGGCUCGACCCCGGAGAAGGAGCCUGAGAAACGGCUACUACAUCCAAGGAAGGCAGCAGGCGCGCAAAUUACCCAAUCCCGACACGGGGAGGUAGUGACAAUAAAUACUGAUACAGGGCUCUUUUGGGUCUUGUAAUUGGAAUGAGUACAAUUUAAAUCCCUUAACGAGGAACAAUUGGAGGGCAAGUCUGGUGCCAGCAGCCGCGGUAAU
rnacentral:rRNA from 1 species